UUGUUAUUCCUCUCUUCUCUCAAGAUUUUAUGGGAGGUUUUGUCAUUCUUUGAUCUGCUCUUUAUGAAGGAUUGGGUAAGCUGGUCAUUGGGUCACAGAGAGAAGAUCAUUAUGUCUCAGAAAUGGUGUAUGUUCACAGGUCUCAGUUGGGAGGUUACUUUGGGUGAGAAUGAAGGAGGGGGCACUCACUGUCUCCUCUCCUCUCUCUCUGAUCAAUCAAUAGUGGCUGAUGAUGUAUUGGAAUAUGUAAGACGCUAUGCUUAACUUAGGAUCAUAAAGAUAAUUGAAGAACCACUCCAGACUGGUAGUCUCCAGAUGAAGAUUGUUGCUGAAGAUAAACUCGUUGAAGAGAGGAUGGCUGAGCUCCUUCAAGAAUGGGAGAGAAAGAAACCAAUACAUAUUGUGUGAUGAACAGUUAUCCUGCAACCAGUCUUAUUAUUAGGGUCUGAGAGCCCUAAAGAGUGUACUGGUGAGUGCUGGUAAUAUCAAGAGGGACAGGAUCCAGCAACUGAAGCAAGAGCUGGCAGCUCAAGGACAGACACUAGAGGAAACUGAUCUAUCCAAACAACCCAUGAACUAGAGAUCCUGAUCCAAAGUGUAUGUGAGACAGUUGUUCCUAAGCUGAUAGCAGAUUUUCUUUAUUUAAUUUUUGAAAUUUUCUCUGAUUUUUUUCCGAUCAUGGGAAUACAUUUAUUCUUAGAAUAUUUUUAUUUUAUUUUCCAAUUUUUUCUGAUAUUUUCUGACAGUGUGGGAA